rnacentral:rRNA from 1 species
GCCUACGGGAGGCAGCAGUGAGGAAUAUUGGUCAAUGGGAGAGAUCCUGAACCAGCCAAGCCGCGUGAGGGAAGACGGCCCUAUGGGUUGUAAACCUCUUUUGUCGGAGAACAAAACCCGGGACGUGUCCCGGACUGCGUGUAUCCGAAGAAAAAGCAUCGGCUAACUCCGUGCCAGCAGCCGCGGUAAUACGGAGGGUGCGAGCGCUAUCCGGAUUUAUUGGGUUUAAAGGGUGCGUAGGCGGUCCGUUAAGUCAGCGGUAAAAUUGCGGGGCUCAACCCCCUCGAGCCGUGGAAACUGGCAGG